rnacentral:rRNA from 1 species
CGCUGCUAGCCAUCGGCCGGACUCUCCCGCCUGCCGGUGUGACCCUGACUCUGUGCCGGGUCUGAGGAUGCCCUCCGUCGUCAUCCCUUAACAAGCGUUACCCGCGUUCGGACUGCUGCGUUGCGGCGCACCUCCUACUUCUGGGAGCCCAGCAUUUGAGGAAAGCUGGCUCUACUUGUAGGUACCCCGAUUAUGGGGGCACCUGACUGUCAUAGCCCUCUUCUUCGGGGCCGAUUGAGGCACGGUCGUCGGCGCCAUUAUGCCCCCCCCGUUCGCAACAAGCCUUAAUGACCCGCAUUUCCCAGGCAUCCGCCGGUUGAUUCAGUCUGCACUUUAGGGGGCCGAAUUGGCCCCUUGACGCAGACUAUGACCAACCGAACUCACGUCCUCUCCUUGCGCCUUAAGGUCCACAUCGCCACUUUACGCAUCUAUAGACCUCCUUGUGGCCACCGCUUCCGCCGCAAGACCUGACAUUGACUGCGACUCCCUGCUUUCGGUCCCCUCGUUUGCCCUAAUCUAUGGGGCCAUCAGGACCGGGAUUUGCUACUUACGAACCACACCGCCCAUAGCUAGGGACGGCACGGCAUCAAUUGCGCAAUUCGUAGGCG